GACAGAGGAGCCAAGCGUUGUCCGGAUUGACUGGGCGUAAAGCGCACGCAGGCGGUCGCGCGCGUGGGGUGUGAAAACUGGCGGCUUAACUGCCAGAGGCCAUCCCAUACGGCGCAACUCGAGCCAUGCAGAGGUCCACGGAAUUGCCGGUGUAGUGGUGAAAUGCGUAGAGAUCAGGAAGAACAUCGGUGGCGAAGGCGCUCUGCUGGACCAUAACUGACACUCAGGGACGAAAGCUAGGGGAGCGAAUGGG
rnacentral:rRNA from 1 species